GCAGUCGAGCGGACAGAUGGGAGCUUGCUCCCUGAUGUUAGCGGCGGACGGGUGAGUAACACGUGGGUAACCUGCCUGUAAGACUGGGAUAACUCCGGGAAACCGGGGCUAAUACCGGAUGGUUGUUUGAACCGCAUGGUUCAGACAUAAAAGGUGGCUUCGGCUACCACUUACAGAUGGACCCGCGGCGCAUUAGCUAGUUGGUGAGGUAACGGCUCACCAAGGCGACGAUGCGUAGCCGACCUGAGAGGGUGAUCGGCCACACUGGGACUGAGACACGGCCCAGACUCCUACGGGAGGCAGCAGUAGGGAAUCUUCCGCAAUGGACGAAAGUCUGACGGAGCAACGCCGCGUGAGUGAUGAAGGUUUUCGGAUCGUAAAGCUCUGUUGUUAGGGAAGAACAAGUGCCGUUCAAAUAGGGCGGCACCUUGACGGUACCUAACCAGAAAGCCACGGCUAACUACGUGCCAGCAGCCGCGGUAAUACGUAGGUGGCAAGCGUUGUCCGGAAUUAUUGGGCGUAAAGGGCUCGCAGGCGGUUUCUUAAGUCUGAUGUGAAAGCCCCCGGCUCAACCGGGGAGGGUCAUUGGAAACUGGGGAACUUGAGUGCAGAAGAGGAGAGUGGAAUUCCACGUGUAGCGGUGAAAUGCGUAGAGAUGUGGAGGAACACCAGUG
rnacentral:rRNA from 1 species